CCUACGGGAGGCAGCAGUGAGGAAUAUUGGUCAAUGGUCGGGAGACUGAACCAGCCAAGCCGCGUGAGGGAGGAAGGUACAGAGGAUUGUAAACCUCUUUUGUCAGGGAACAAAGUCUGGUAAGCGUCCCCUGUUGCGUGUACCUUAAGAAUAAGCAUCGGCUAACUCCGUGCCAGCAGCCGCGGUAAUACGGAGGAUUCGAGCGUUAUCCGGAUUUAUUGGGUUUAAAGGGUGCGCCGGCGGUCUGUUAAGUCAGCGGUCAAAGCCCGGGGCCCAACCCCGGCCCCGCCGUUGAAACUGGCAGGCUCGAGUGGGGGAGAGGUAUGCGGAAUGCGCGGUGUAGCGGUGAAAUGCAUAGAUAUCGCGCAGAACUCCGAUUGCGAAGGCAGCAUGCCGGAUCGAAACUGACGCUGAGGCACGAAAGCGUGGGUAUCGAACAGGAUUAGAUACCCGAGUAGUC
rnacentral:rRNA from 1 species